rnacentral:rRNA from 1 species
CGGGGGAAAAUUUAUUGCUAUUAGAUGAGCCUAUAUUAGAUUAGCUAGUUGGUGGAGUAAUAGCCUACCAAGGCAAUGAUCUAUAGCUGAUCUGAGAGGAUGAUCAGCCACACUGGAACUGAGAUACGGUCCAGACUCCUACGGGAGGCAGCAGUGGGGAAUAUUGGACAAUGGGCGAAAGCCUGAUCCAGCCAUGCCGCAUGAGUGAAGAAGGCCUUUGGGUUGUAAAGCUCUUUUAGUGAGAAAGAUAAUGACGGUACUCACAGAAGAAGUCCUGGCUAACUCCGUGCCAGCAGCCGCGGUAAUACGGAGAGGGCUAGCGUUAUUCGGAAUUAUUGGGCGUAAAGGGCGCGUAGGCUGGUUAAUAAGUUAAAAGUGAAAUCCCGAGGCUUAACCUUGGAAUUGCUUUUAAAACUAUUAAUCUAGAGAUUGAAAGAGGAUAGAGGAAUUCCUGAUGUAGAGGUAAAAUUCGUAAAUAUUAGGAGGAACACCAGUGGCGAAGGCGUCUAUCUGGUUCAAAUCUGACGCCGAAGCGCGAAGGCGUGGGGAGCAAACAGGAUUAGAUACCCUGGUAGUCCCCGCUGUAAACGAUGAAUGUUAAAUAUGGGAAGUUUCCUUUCUGUAUUACAGCU